AUUCUUACAUGAUGCCAUAACUAAACACGAGCUGAAACCCUGUACCUCCUUCUGUCGCAGGCUGUCCAUGUCCUCUAGAGCUUGCUUGGACCUUCGCUUCUCCAUUUCCAGACGGUCUAUCGGAGGAUGACACACAGAACAUUUGUGCUGGGCUCAUUUUUUAAAAAAAAGAAAAAAAGGGGGUUCUGUGUGCUAGGUACCUUCUGCCUGUGCCAGUCGAAGCUUGAGCUCAGCCGUGCUGUUGGUUACCUGGCGACUCUUCUCAUCCUUCAGUGUCUGAAUCUCCUUGUUGAGGACAUGGGUCCGGCUGCAGCUCUCCUUCAGCAUGGAUCGUCUGUCUGAAUUGUUCGCUGUGGUCUGCUCUGGAGGUCCAGCUGUGUCAGCACACUGUUGGAGGCCAGACCUUCACAGAAGAGCGAGAAGCCCUCAUCCCACACCCCGAGUGCAUUCCACUCCAACACCAACCUGCAAGCACAAUUCAAAAGCAUCAACAGACGAGUGACAAAUUAAAAAAAGACCAUUUUAAAUUCA